GAGGUUGUGGCUCAGAGGUUGAGCACUUGCCUAGCAAGCAUGAGGCACUGGGUUCGAUCCUCGGCACCACA
rnacentral:tRNA from 1 species